GAGUAUGAAGUCGAGUGAUG
rnacentral:siRNA from 1 species